CAUGUAAAUGAAGUGUGGAUGACAUUUCAAGCCACCACGUGGUGACCGCGAAUAAGCGUCACAUUCCUUCAUGUAAGCGUGAGGGCAAGACUGCGUAACAGGGUUCUCGUCUUGGGCGAGCGUUAGGAAGCCGCGCACGCGUGAGAGACGCAAAUCACACGUUUAACAUCCUGCGCCCAGUGCUCGGGCGGAAAUUUUCCAUCACGCAUAUACAAAUCCUCAUAGAGCAGCGGUGGUAUAUCACGUGGCCUGCAAGGAGCAUGGGUGUAGGAGGACAACGCUCUGCGCCCCCUCGUCUUCUCAUCGCCGUGCGGGGAAUACGAAAUUUUUCUUGGGGAGGCUGACAAAGACCGUGGUGUUUUGCAAGACUGCUGUCGCCUGGCAGCCAUUUUUUGUGUGGAUUCCUCGGCCGAUUAUCACGAUGUUCGUUCAUUACAGAACAAAGCGCUAGGUCUAAUUUUGUGAGUUGAUACGUAUCACUAAGUUCAAUUCUACAGACACUCUUUUCGUACAGCGCGCGCAAUGCAAGCGUCGCAUACAGCAUGCAACUGUGCCGAGUUUACGAGAGAAUAUCCACCACGGCGUGACCGCUCGGGUUCAGCAUUUCCCCAUGAAUGGUGCAUAUAUUGCGUCAACUCACCUGCCACUCAUGGACGUUGGGAAUAUACAGCUGCAUGUAUAACCAUCUCUACCAUCUAUACCAGACCAGCAGCAGAACGAGGAACUAUUCGCGAUAAGUGACCCGGAUUUGCCACGAAGCUCCAAGCAGUGGAAGAGGAACAUGUUUUUCUGCCGACGAUGGCUUUUCAUGAUGCAGGCUCCACAGAUGUCAUUCAAGGCUCAGCUGAUGAAGGACCCUCGACCAGUGGUCAUGACAUGGAAAGACAACGUCGCAACACAAGUGCACAUUUUAGCUAUUCCCAUGGAGACUUGGCUUUCUCAGCGAUUUAAAAAUGUUUUAUCUCUGCUAGUUUUGUUUUUGAACAUCAACGUUUCAUUGUAUCUUAUCUUCCGCGAAAGAAUACUAUGAAUAAAAGGUUUACCCUCGGAAGAAAUAUGUUUGUCAUAUUUGUUUCGCUACUUAAGAUAUUCGCAUUUCUUUAA